rnacentral:rRNA from 1 species
UUGACCUCAAAUCAGGUAGGACUACCCGCUGAACUUAAGCAUAUCAAUAAGCGGAGGAAAAGAAACUAACAAGGAUUCCCCUAGUAACUGCGAGUGAAGCGGGAAAAGCUCAAAUUUGAAAUCUGGCGGUUCCUUGGACUGUCCGAGUGUAAUCUAGAGAA